rnacentral:rRNA from 1 species
AGGCCGGAUAUGGAAGCCCUGUGAGGGGUGGAGUUGACCGGUACUAAUAGGCCGAGGGCUUGUCCU